GACGAACGCUGGCGGCGUGCUUAACACAUGCAAGUCGAACGUGAUUUUUGUGGAAAUUCUUUCGGGAAUGGAAAUGAAAUGAAAGUGGCGAACGGGUGAGUAACACGUGAGCAACCUACCUUACACAGGGGGAUAGCCGUUGGAAACGACGAUUAAUACCGCAUGAGACCACAAAGCCACAUGGCUUAGGGGUAAAAGAUUUAUCGGUGUAAGAUGGGCUCGCGUCUGAUUAGCUAGUUGGAAGGGUAAAGGCCUACCAAGGCAACGAUCAGUAGCCGGUCUGAGAGGAUGAACGGCCACAUUGGAACUGAGACACGGUCCAAACUCCUACGGGAGGCAGCAGUGGGGAAUAUUGCACAAUGGGGGGAACCCUGAUGCAGCGACGCCGCGUGAGCGAAGAAGGUUUUCGAAUCGUAAAGCUCUGUCCUAUGAGAAGAUAAUGACGGUAUCAUAGGAGGAAGCCCCGGCUAAAUACGUGCCAGCAGCCGCGGUAAUACGUAUGGGGCGAGCGUUGUCCGGAAUUAUUGGGCGUAAAGGGUACGUAGGCGGUUUUUUAAGUCAGGUGUGAAAGCGUGAAGCUUAACCUCAUUAAGCACUUGAAACUGGAAGGCUUGAGUGAAGGAGAGGAAAGUGGAAUUCCUAGUGUAGCGGUGAAAUGCGUAGAUAUUAGGAGGAAUACCGGUGGCGAAGGCGACUUUCUGGACUUUUACUGACGCUCAGGUACGAAAGCGUGGGGAGCAAACAGG
rnacentral:rRNA from 1 species